AUCGCUUCUCGGCCUUUUGGCUAAGAUCAAGUGUAGUAUCUGUUCUUAUCAGUUUAAUAUAUAAAUAUGUUAUUUUUCCUUUACGGAUCACAUGUUUUCAAAUCAGUUAAUCUUA
rnacentral:snRNA from 1 species